GAGUCAACCUCUGUCCAAGAAAGACUAGACCUGAAAAGAGUUGACUCCAAGUAGGAGAGGCAGAGGGAAAGAGGAGAAAAGCCACACUCAGAAAGUGCGCAGAAAACACAUCAAGACAAACAAGGCAGAUGAGACAGCACCUAACAGCCACUGGGAAGAUCACACUCGAACAAUUCCAGAUCACUUCUCUUCAAGGAAGAUGUAAUGGAGCUGAGAGAGUUCAGAGAAUGGCAAGUGGCAUAAACAAGGAGGUGUCCUUUCCUAGAACAGAAAAAGAAAUGAAGGCCCAGGGAAGUUGUCAGAUUAGAUCAUAAUCAGACAGCUUAUAAAUGGCAAAUCAAGACUCAAAUUGAAAG
ensembl:lncRNA